rnacentral:rRNA from 1 species
CCUACGGGUGGCAGCAGUCGAGAAUCAUUCACAAUGGGGGAAAGCCUGAUGCUGCGACGCCGCGUGGGGGAAUGAAGGUCUUCGGUUUUUAACCACCUGUCAUGUGGGAGCAAAUUAAAUAGAUAAUACAACAAGAGGUAGAGACGGCUAACUCUGUGCCAGCCGCCUCGGUAAUACAGAGGACGCAAGCUUGUUUCGGAAUCACUGGGCGUAAAGCGUGUGUAGGCUGUUUCACAAGUCGUGUGUGAAAGGCGCGGGCUAAACGCGGGAACGGCACAUGAUACUGGGAGACUGGAGUAAGGGAGGGGAAAGUGGAAUUCCCGGUGUAGGAGUGAAAUGCGUAGAGAUCGGGAGGAACACUAGUGGCGAAGGCGAGUACCUGG